rnacentral:rRNA from 1 species
AACGAACGCUGGCGGCAGGCCUAACACAUGCAAGUCGAGCGCCCCGCAAGGGGAGCGGCAGACGGGUGAGUAGCGCGUGGGAACCUUCCCAGUGGUACGGAAUAGCCCAGGGAAACUUGAGGUAAUACCGUAUACGCCCGCAAGGGGAAAGAUUUAUCGCCAUUGGAUGGGCCCGCGUCGGAUUAGCUAGUUGGUGGGGUAAUGGCGCACCAAGGCGACGAUCCGUAGCUGGUCUGAGAGGAUGAUCAGCCACACUGGGACUGAGACACGGCCCAGACUCCUACGGGAGGCAGCAGUGGGGAAUAUUGGACGAUGGGCGCAAGCCUGAUCCAGCCAUGCCGCGUGAGUGACGAAGGUCUUCGGAUUGUAAAGCUCUUUUGGCGGGGACGAUAAUGACGGUACCCGCAGAAUAAGCCCCGGCUAACUCCGUGCCAGCCGCCGCCGUAACAC